rnacentral:lncRNA from 1 species
GGCAACUUAAGAAAAGUACUUAAAAUAAGGGCUUAAAAGCCCAAAAAAAGCUAAAAAACCUAGUUUUUUUUUGGGUUUGGAGCUUAUUAUAACAAAAUAAGUCACGAGUACCCAGACAUUUUUAAUAAAUUAUAAGUUCAAACCAACUUUUCACUUAUAAUCCAAUUCUUUACUUUAAGCAAUAAGUCACUUCUUUUGGUAUGAAAUAGAGUAGAAUUCCUCAGAUAAAAAUCAGCAUUCAUAUUUUACACAAACAGAUUAAAAAAAUGUAAAAGUAUGCCCGAAGUCUUGUUUACCAAACAGACAGAACCAGCCGGCUACUGCAUCCUUUUAUUUGUUUUAGCAGGGGGAAGAGGAGAGUACUAUUAUUGCCAAGAACAGGUUCACGUCUUCAUCAAGACUUCAACUGCAUGUAUUAUUAGGUAGUAUAAAUAAAAAAGAAGAUGACUUCAUCAAGGUUGACAUGCACGAUAAUAUUCACUUACAUAAAUAUAUAAAAAGAGGAGCCUUUAGUUUGCCACUUUAUUGAAGGUGUCCAGCCAUUUUUAUGCCCUGAGAAAAAGCAAACAAGUGAAAAGAUGCUAGUUGGCUGGGGAUGGGAAUAAGUGCUCUAUCGAUCAAUGUGAAAUACACUUUCAGGCUGUCGUGAUCAGAUUAUUCUAUAUACUACAAUGUACUGCUACCAUUUCCUUUGAUUGAUCCAAGACCAA